CUUGUCAUCAUCACGUUUCUGGCCACGUCAGAUAAGACCACAAACCGUCCGUUUGUUCUUUCGUUGACGCGCACAAGCAACAAGUGACAAGCUAAUGCUAAUAUUUUUUUUUUUGCAUUUUGAUUGAUUUUCUGCAGUUUUGCAGGUGAUGGAAUUAAAUUUCAAAAAAUUCAAUUUGAAAAACAAACCAUACAACAUUUCCUGUGGACUAUCCAAACAUGCAACUAGCAUCGUAUGCUAAAAGGACGGAGGGCAGGACUUACUUCUUGAACUGCUUGAGGAAAAUGCCCACGUUCAUCCCCCUCUUGGAGUCCAGGAUGCUGAUCUGCAAGCAGACACAAGGGGGCGACAUGUCAAAGACCAAACAGGAAGUCUGAAUAUGCUGCAGCGUGCACGCCGGGCCAGUAGGGGACAAUGUCACUUCCUUCUCCAGGUGUAAAAUGCAGGAUGGGAGAGGAAUGAAACUUUCAAUAAGUUCUCGAGCUUCAUACUCACCUCUUCCUUGCUGCUCUCCUUGAACGAUCGGGACCGGUUGAGCCCAGCCGCCGUCCCGGGAGCGGACGCCGCCCCUCGGCC